rnacentral:rRNA from 1 species
CGCCUGUUUAUCAAAAACAUCUUUUCUCGUUAGUUUUUGAAGUAUGGCCUGCCCACUGACUUGAGUGUUGAAGGGCCGCGGUAUUUUGACCGUGCAAAGGUAGCAUAGUCAUUAGUUCUUUAAUUGUGAUCUGGUAUGAAUGGCUUGACGAGGCAUGAGCUGUCUUAAUUUUGAAUUGUUUAUUGAAUUUGGUCUUUGAGUUAAAAUUCUUAGAUGUUUUUAUGGGACGAGAAGACCCUAUAGAGUUUAACAUUUAUUAUGGUCUCUUUCUGUUUGUGAGGGCUCAUUAGGGCUGUUUAAUAUGUUUUGUUGGGGUGAUGGGAGGGAUAUUAUUUAACCCCUCCUUUUUGUUGUUAUAUUUAUUUAUAUUUGCUUGAUCCAUUUAUGUUGAUUGUAAGAUUAAAUUACCUUAGGGAUAACAGCGUAA